UUAUUUAAUGAGUGUUAGUUCAAGAUUUUCAAUUUAUUCAUAAAUUCUUGCAAAUUAAUGAUUGUAUCAAUUUUGGCUCAAUAUUUCAACGUUUUCCAUUUUUUACUUCUCAGUUUUAUCCAACGGUUCUUUCAAGGGUUUCUUACGUUUAUUUAAAAAUGAUGGGCCUGUAGCACUAUAUCGGAUGGAUUUAAUGGAUGAUCAAAUUUAGGUCGUGUUUGUUGUUUGAUUUUCAAGUCCAUCUAUUAUAUAUUGUCGACUGCCUGGUUUUUUACUCGAUACCAACAGUAAUGAUGAGUUAUUGUCCUGCAUUGUUUAUUAAAUAUUGGUAUUAAAUACUUGCGUGGUUACCUUCAUCAAGAUUGAUAACAAAGUAUGCUUUCUAUGGUUCACAUGAAGUUUAUUCACAAAAGAUCUUCUCGUGCAGGAUAAUUGAAGUCUUUAAAGAGAGUAAACUUUUGCCAUUUCAGGAAGAGAAACUAUCUUGUUUGGAUAAGAUGAAUAAGAAAUUUGUAAUUCAAUACCAAGAAAAACAAGUAAAAAUACUCGUCACAGGGUUAUCCUAACACUCUGAGGAUCAAUAUGUUGAUAAAAGCGAAGAAGCUGUUGCUUUGUUUGGUCAUUAUUUUGUCCAGCACAAAGUUAUAUCCAACUGGUUAUGGUUACUUAAGCAUGAUUCCAAAUAAUCAACUCAUCAAUUGAGUCUCAAAGUAGCCACCAUGAUGAACCCAUUUGAAUUAACCAUCAACAUCUCAAGUGGGAGUGAAGUGAAAGGCCCAACCAAUUGAUAAAAAUCAAAAGAAACAUUGAUAAAGAUGAGAUGAAAAGAGCCAGGAUAAAAAUGUGAAAGAAAAGAUGGAAAAGAUGACCAAGUCUACCAAGAAGAUGAUAAAACCUGUGCGAGUACAGAGCGUCUAAAAAAUGACCAACUAAUGUUAGCUUUAGAGUGAUUAAACUAAUACUUCAUUGAGUUGAUGUGAAAUAUAAUAUUCAAGUGCUUCACCCUUGAAGGUCAUCUCAGAAGGAAUUGAAUUUUUAAUGAGGGUUAGGCGACUACACCUUAUUCUGAUAAUUCUUUAGAGUGGAUUCUUUAUAAUAAAUAAACAAUUCAUCAUAUUAUUUGUCAUUUAUUAAAGUUAACACUGGUUGGUUAUUUUCGAGACGAUCUGUAAUAUUCUAAAUGGUAGAAGCAAUUGAGACCAAUUAGGUGAAUCAAGUGAGAACAGCAAUUACCGUGAUAAUACAAUUCACGUUCCCUUUCAACCAAUACGUGAUCAACAGCAUUCCAUAUUAAACAAUUAUUUCCUCCAUUUUUUUCUCCUCAUCAUCACAUUAAUAUUUAUAAAGACUAGACGAUGUAACACCAGAUAUAUCAUCAUCAAAAAAUAACCUACAGAAAGUGAAUAGAUUUAAAGAUUGUUCAAAAGGCAACAUUGACAAUUUACAUAGACGACAAGAAAACUUGUAAAAUGGACUAAUGAUAUUGAUGGUAAAACUUUUUUUGUCUCAAUAAUAAUUGUGAUAAUAUCAAUAAUGAGACAACCUGGAAUUGAUGAGCUUCAAUAAUGUCACCAUUGUCCAUUACAAUAUUCACAGUGAAUUUAUUAUUCAUAUCACGCUUCAUUCAACUCUAUUCAUCGUUUACUUUCACCAUUCCUUCAACUCUUCUCAAUUCUCUCUUAUCUUCUGUUAUCAUUAUGUCUUCAAUGCCAUUCAAUAUAAUGGCAACAUUAUUCAGUUGAUAGAUAUAUCAUAAUAAUGAUCAUAAUGAUACCUUGUUUUUAUCUUUGAACAAAAAAAGUUCAAUGGAUAUCGAUUGGAAGCUGUGCAAUAAAUUUAAUUAAUAAAUAAUAACCCAAAAUGUGAGUUAAAUAUGGAAAAAAUGGCGAAAAGAAAAAGCAAUUCAACUGGAAAAGGAAUUGGUCUAUUAUCAAUUUAACUUUGACCUUUACAUUAAUCGAUUGGCAUUUCUUUCAAACAUGGUAUCAAGUUGUGCCAAAGCUCAGUCAAACUCAUGAAUGAUCAAGAACUGAAGCACAAACGGAACGUUGAAAUGUUUCCAAAGCGAUACAAGAAAGAAAAAUGAUGAUUCCAUUUACCAACAUGACAAAUGUGGCAUUUCUUGAUGAAUGGAGUUGACAAUCUUUUCAGCUUCUGUCCAUAUUCAACCAUAAAGAAGAGGAAAAAAAGGCAAAUCAAGCUAAUCAAAAUUUCCAUGUAUCAACAGAUUAAAUGAUAUUAACCAGGAAUAAUAUCCAAAGUGUCAAAACAAUCUUUUCUUCAUUGAACACAACAUGAAAGAUUUUAGAUGGCAAAGAUUCUGAUAUUAUUGGUUCUCAGCAAAAUUCAAAAAUGGCAGUGACAAAGAAACAAGAGCAAGACCAAAGGAGAAAAACCUUUCAAUACUUUACAUCAAUUAAUAUUCAUAUCUAUUUCAUAAUUAAUAUUGCUGGAUGGAUGUAUGGCGAAAGAAUAUAUCUUUGGACAAAAGAAAAAUUGGUAAUAAUUAAUAACAAUCAGUUUUGUUGAAUUAAUCAUUACCUUUGGUGCAAACAUACUCUCAAUGCAAGGUUGACUGGAUGACCAUUGAUAAAGUCAAUUGGAUUGACGAUUGAAACUGGUAUUUAAUGGAUAACCACUCGAUGUACCAUUAUGUUGAUUGGAUCGACUAAAUGUAAAUUGAAUAAUGGUUUACAAUGAGGAGACACAAUUUAGCCGAAUGAUCAAAAUGAAUAAAUGACAAGUUGAAUGUUUAACUUGGAAAGCAUUUUUAUCAAGCAAAUAUCUCAACAUGAGGCUUACAAGCAAAGACUAUUUUAAUACAUGAUCAACGUCAUGACCGUAAAUACACAUUUCUGUACCAUCCUCAAGUCUCUUCAUCUUUAUCAUCAUUGUCCAUCUUCAUUAAGUCCAUUGUUAUGGAUAGUCAAGAAGCAAAUUUUGUUUCUCUUUUUUGCCUUCACUUUAACCUUAUCAAACUUAUUUUUGGUACCUUUUUAUAUCUUAUAAAUAUAAUAUUAUAAUAUUUUCAAUGGUCAGUGAAUGAAACAAAAAGGAAACUCAAAUAUUCUUUGACUUGAGAGUCAAAAAUACUUGAUAGCUUUUAGCAUUGCUCAUGGCAUUUGGUGGUCAACUAAGUAACGUCCAAAUGAAAACUUUGAAUGAUGAUGAGUUGAAGAUGAAAAUGUAGAAAUUAUUGAAGUAAAUGGAAAAAGAAGAAAAAAAUGAAAGGAAAAUGACAAUUUCUCCUCGAACCAUUUUCCUCAUUUUUACCCACUUUUCAACUUUCGAUUACUUGAAGCUGAAAUUUUCAAACCUCAACACUCGAUUUACUUCAAAAUUAUCAUCUAAUCAUAAAGAAAUUUCAUGUUAACAAAAUUUCUUGCUUGUUGGUUCAUUAAUGAGCUGCCAACAAUGUCACCAUUUUGAUUAUUAUUGACAAUAAACUGAUAAACUCAGAAAGUUUAUUAGAAAUGCAUUAUUUCUUCUCAUCAAAAUCAACAAUUUAUAUUUCCUUUUCCAGGAAGUAGUGAUGAAAAGAAUCAACUUUAUUCUGUUUUCCGUUUCAAUUCUAAAUAUUAAUGUUAAC